CCAAAAUUGAAACAACUCUGCUUUUACGACAUGUCGAAUUGGGAAGAGUGGGAAGGCGUGGAAGACUGGACCAAAGAAGAUUCUGAAAUUACAAUCAUGCCAUCCCUUUCUGAGUUAAGAAUUCUCGACUGCAAAUUGCUAAAAGCACUGCCAGACUUCAUCUUCAAAACACCACUGCGGACUCUUGACAUCAGCACAUGUCGGAGACUUGCAGAGCAUUACGAAGAAGGCAAUGGAGAGUGGGCCAAGAUUUCUGCUAAGAUCCCAAACAUCCGCAUUUCCUCCUGUGAUCACUUGCUUGUGAAACAACUGGCUCGUAUAAUAAUUGAGAUGGCGACUCGCUAAAACUGGACCCUAUUGAAGCAAUUAGAGUGAUGUAAAUCAUCAACUGUCAGCCUACGGAAGUUCCAAUAACUGAAAUUUUGAUUAUUUUCAUCACUGCCUUGACAGAGACAU